rnacentral:lncRNA from 1 species
CCUCACACAUGCUAGGCAAGGGCUCUACCACUGAGCUGCACCCCCUAGCCACCAUUUUAGGGUUUUUUUUGUUUUUUAUGUCCUUUACUGUGAUAGACAAGACUAAUGGCACCUCAAGGAUACAAUUAUUAAUUUCCUGGAACCUAUCAAUAUGUUGCUUUAACAUGGCAAAAGAAAUUUAGCAGAUGUAAUUAAGAUUAAUGACCUGGAGACAUGAUUAUGUUAGGGUAGGCCCAGUCUAAUCACAGGAGAGAGUCAAAGCACAAGAAUUCCAUGCCGGGUUUCUGUUCUUGCGACUAAAAGGCUCAGGGGUCACUCCAGUUAAACUGGGCUAACUAGGCUGCACGAAAUAACCACACAAGAGACACAAAUACCUUUUUCUUUGGGGUCACUGUGACGGCUCCUCUGACCUUAAGGGUCCACAGGAAGAGAGAGAUCAAGAGCACGCGCUGACCCCUUUUAUUGAGGAGAAGCUAUUCAAAUGAGGCAAGGGGUCAGGUUUCAGGGGGCAGAGUAUCUUCAUGAUGUCCACUGUCAGCAGGUUGACUGACACCUGGGCAGGCCACACCCAAGGGCACAGUAAGAGGAGGGGACACACACAAGGCACUUCCAUGGAAGAUUCUAUCCUAAACAGGGCAAGGAGUUAUAUUACAAAGGAACAGGUGAGCAUAGC